rnacentral:rRNA from 1 species
GAUGAACGCUGGCGGCGUGCCUAAUACAUGCAAGUCGAGCGAACGGACGAGAAGCUCGCGUCUUUGAUGUUAGCGGCGGACGGGCGAGUAACACGUGGAUAACCUACCUAUAAGUCUGGGAUAACUUCGGGAAACCGGUGCUAAUACUGGAUAAUAUUUUGAACCGCAUGGUUCAAAAGUGAAAGACGGUUUUGCCGUCACUUAUAGAUGGAUCCGCGCUGCAUUAGCUAGUUGGUAAGGUAACGGCCUACCAAGGCAACGAUGCGUAGCCGACCUGAGAGGGUGAUCGGCCACACUGGAACUGAGACACGGUCCAGACUCCUACGGGAGGCAGCAGUGGGGAAUAUUCGGCAAUGGGCGAAAGCCUGACGGAGCAACGCCGCGUGAGUGAUGAAGGUCUUCGGAUCGUAAAGCUCUGUUAUUAGGAAAGAACAGAUGUGUGUGUAACUGUGCACGUCUUGACGGUACCUAAACAGAAAGCCACGGCUAACUACGUG